AGUUCCCCGUUGGAAAAGGUGAUGAGUGCGAGGACCACCAGAUCGGCAAGAGAUUCCCCGUGGGUGCUGUGUGGAGCAGCCGUAACUCGGGCUGCAAGCAGAGCCACUGCAUCAAGGAGAACGGUACUCUCUACAUCGACCGCUUCCAGUGCCCCCAGGUGCGGAAGCGGGUGGACUUCCAGAAGCUGAAGGCGGACAACCUGUUCUGCAGAGAGGCCGUGGGAGACCGCAGGAAGGCAUUUCCGGACUGCUGUCCCCGCCUUGUGUGUAAACACUACGUUAAGGGCAAGCUGGUCGCUCUCCCUGAGGACAAGUACCCUUUUCUCUGAGCGCAGUUGAUGGCGUGCGGUAACAUUGAAAUAACGACUUGAUUGUGAUACGAUGGUGAUAGUUCUAGCUGCCGGAGACAGUCGCAAACCUGAUACGUUAUAGUUAUCAGUAGUUUUUUUUCACGAAACAGUAGUUUUGUGGAAUGGUACCACCAGUGCCUGUAGCGUAGCUUUGUGGCGCUUUGUUUCG